AUACUUACCUGGCAGGGGAGAUGCCAUGAUCACAAAGCUGGUUUUCCCAGGGUGAGGCUUAUCCGUUGCACUCCCGAUGUGCUGACCUUUGCAAUUCCCCAAAUGUGGGAAACCCGACUGCAUAAUUUGUGGUAGUCGGUGACUGCGUUCACGCUCUCCCCUG
ensembl:snRNA U1 U1 spliceosomal RNA